GCCCCGGUGGCUCAGCUGGUAGAGCGGCGGUCUCGUAAACCGCAGGUCGCGGGUUCGAAGCCCGCCCGGGGCU
rnacentral:tRNA from 1 species